rnacentral:rRNA from 1 species
AUUGAACGCUGGCGGCAGGCCUAACACAUGCAAGUCGAGCGGAUGAAGGGAGCUUGCUCCUGGAUUCAGCGGCGGACGGGUGAGUAAUGCCUAGGAAUCUGCCUGGUAGUGGGGGAUAACGUCCGGAAACGGGCGCUAAUACCGCAUACGUCCUGAGGGAGAAAGUGGGGGAUCUUCGGACCUCACGCUAUCAGAUGAGCCUAGGUCGGAUUAGCUAGUUGGUGGGGUAAAGGCCUACCAAGGCGACGAUCCGUAACUGGUCUGAGAGGAUGAUCAGUCACACUGGAACUGAGACACGGUCCAGACUCCUACGGGAGGCAGCAGUGGGGAAUAUUGGACAAUGGGCGAAAGCCUGAUCCAUCCAUGCCGCGUGUGUGAAGAAGGUCUUCGGAUUGUAAAGCACUUUAAGUUGGGAGGAAGGGCAGUAAGUUAAUACCUUGCUGUUUUGACGUUACCAACAGAAUAAGCACCGGCUAACUUCGUG